rnacentral:rRNA from 1 species
UACAGAGGUGGCAAGCGUUGUUCGGAAUUAUUGGGCGUAAAGCGCGUGUAGGCGGCUUGGCAAGUCGGGUGUGAAAGCCCUCGGCUCAACCGAGGAAGUGCGCCCGAAACUGCUAUGGCUUGAGUGCCGGAGAGGGUGGCGGAAUUCCCCAAGUAGAGGUGAAAUUCGUAGAUAUGGGGAGGAACACCGGUGGCGAAGGCGGCCACCUGGACGGCAACUGACGCUGAGACGCGAAAGCGUGGGUAGCAAACAGG